rnacentral:misc_RNA from 1 species
AAAAAAAAAAAAAGAAUACUUAUGAAAAUGUUAAAUUUGAAAUUUUCUCCCCUUAAAAUUUAAUAUUUGACCCCACUAAAUUUUGACUUAAAUAAAAAGACAGAAAUAUUUUAGUUUUUGCCAUUUUUGUAAUAUAAAAAACAACUUAAAAGUUAUAUUUUCGUUUGUAUUUUGGAAUCACAACUCAUAGAAAAGAGAAACAAAGUUAGAAAAUUUUGAACAAAGUCAAAUAAAAACAAAGUGAAGGAUAAAAAAUUAAAUUCAAUUGUGGGAUCUGAGAAUAAGAUGAGUAAUUUUGUAUUUAGUUUUCUCUCAAACUUCUCAAAUAAAAAUUUUUUUUGUAGUUUUAUGUAUUUUUGUAAGUACCCAAAUCUAUUUUAUAAAUUUGUUUUCUAUACACUCAAUUUUAAUUU